CCCUUAGAUGUUCUGGGCCGCACGCGCGCUACACUGAUACGCUCAACGAGCUCCUUGGCCGAAAGGUCCGGGUAAUCUUUGAAAUCGUAUCGUGAUGGGGAUAGAACAUUGCAAUUUUUGUUCUUCAACGAGGAAUGCCUAGUAAACGCAAGUCAUCAGCUUGCAUUGAUUACGUCCCUGCCCUUUGUACACACCGCCCGUCGCUCCUACCGAUUGAAUGAUCCGAUGAAUAUCAUGGAUUGAGGAUGCAAGUAGGUUAGCCUAUCUUCAUCUUCGAGAAGUGAAGUAAAUCUUAUCAUUUAGAGGAAGGAGAAGUCGUAACA
rnacentral:rRNA from 1 species